rnacentral:rRNA from 1 species
UAGGGAAUCUUCCGCAAUGGACGAAAGUCUGACGGAGCAACGCCGCGUGAGUGAUGAAGGUUUUCGGAUCGUAAAACUCUGUUGUUAGGGAAGAACAAGUACCGUUCGAAUAGGGCGGCACCUUGACGGUACCUAACCAGAAAGCCACGGCUAACUACGUG